rnacentral:rRNA from 1 species
UACGGAGGGUGCAAACGUUGCUCGGAAUCAUUGGGCGUAAAGCGCACGUAGGCGGUCCGUUAAGUCGGGAGUGAAAGCCCCAGGCUCAACUUGGGAAGUGCUUUCGAAACUGGCGGACUUGAAUACUGAAGAGGAUCGCGGAAUUCCCGGUGUAGCGGUGAAAUGUGUAGAGAUCGGGAGGAACACCGGUGGCGAAGGCGGAUCUCUGGGCAAUUCCUGACGCUGAGGCGCGAAAGCGUGGGGAGCAAACGGG